rnacentral:rRNA from 1 species
AUGUACUCCUACGGGAGGCAGCAGUGGGGAAUUUGACAAUGGGCGAAAGCCUGAUGCAGCGACGCCGCGUGGGGGAUGAAGGCCUUCGGGUUGUAAACCCCUUUCAGCAGGGAAGAAGCGAAAGUGACGGUACCUGCAGAAGAAGCGCCGGCUAACUACGUGCCAGCAGCCGCGGUAAUACGUAGGGCGCAAGCGUUGUCCGGAAUUAUUGGGCGUAAAGAGCUCGUAGGCGGUUUGUCGCGUCUGCUGUGAAAUCCCGAGGCUCAACCUCGGGCUUGCAGUGGGUACGGGCAGACUAGAGUGUGGUAGGGGAGACUGGAAUUCCUGGUGUAGCGGUGGAAUGCGCAGAUAUCAGGAGGAACACCAAUGGCGAAGGCAGGUCUCUGGGCCACAACUGACGCUGAGGAGCGAAAGCGUGGGGAGCGAACAGGAUUAGAUACCCUGGUAG